AACGACUCUCGGCAACGGAUAUCUCGGCUCUUGCAUCGAUGAAGAACGUAGCGAAAUGCGAUACUUGUUUUGAAUUGCAGAAUCCCAUCAAUUCUUUGAACGCAAGUUGCGCCCGAAGCCAUCCGGCCGAGGGCACGCCUGCCUGGGUGUCGUGA
rnacentral:rRNA from 1 species